UGAUAAAGCUAUGCCCUUCCAUUUCACCUUUUCCUUUUGGAUUGCCAUAUCUCAAAAGUUUACACCAAUCAAACCUUAUUUCUUAGAUGUAAGACCUAUCUGUUCUCAUUUGAGGGGAUCAUGAAACUAAUCCAGUUAUACCAGAGAAUACAGGAAAAGAGGAUGCACAAGAGGAACCAGCAUCUCAUCUGUGAAAACAAUAGGUGGUGUAGCUGUCAGUGUCAAAGUAUGUAUUUCAGGUGACUGAUUUAAAUAUUUCUCUUUGUUGAGAAAUGAACCUGACCUUCCCCUGGAAUCUGAACACAGAUUUAGCCUUACUAAACAAAAAUGGAAGGACAAAUGGAAUAAAUGUAUACAAACUCAAAAUUAUAGGGAUUAAAUCCUUCCAAUUGUUUUCUACUAAGAUAUGUACUAUGGCUUUUUUUUGUUUUUACUUUGCCUUUGCCACUGAAUCUCUCAGGGCCCUUCUUUGCUUCUCUGAUGGAAUAUUGCUGAGCUUUCCAUCAGUCUGCAUCUUUGCAUUGGUAUAUGUACCCUUGUCUGUUUUAUUUAUGGUCAUUGGACACAUAGUCUCAGAUUUGUAAAAUGAACAGCAUGUUUCACAAAACCUAUUCACUAAGUUCCUUUAUUUACUUUCAGUCACAUGAUUGUUGUCAGCCAAAAGCAGCCAGCACAUAAACCCAGGAAAUAGAGUAGUUUUGUGCACAGCUAACCAUGGACCUCAGCUCUAUGUUGAGACAUCAGUAAUAUAGGAGUUGUUUUGUCCUCUUCACCUUUGAGAAUAUAUCCUCUUUGUGUUUCAGCCUCACGGGACUCAUCUGCUGGCAUAAAGGUAAUUAAAGUUCUAUAUUUAUACUAAAUUAUAAUUUUGUAGUGAAUGAAGUAUACAUUCUUAUGUACUAUAUUCUUUCCAAGCAUACUGAGCCCACUAUCACAGUGCCCCUUCCAUGGAAAGGACUAGGCAAGGUGAAAGAAAAGAUAGUAAAAUCAGGUAAGUUUUGCAUUACAACAUUCUGGGGAAAUACUAUGUUAAAACAAUUGAAAUGCUAGCAGCCUUCCCACAUGUAAGGUUGUUUUCCCAAUGAGGUGGGAGGAUUUGCCCCACAAUGUCAGUCAUUAGUUACAGCAAAUUAUCUCUUUUCUGUGUUUCUGGGAACAUCCUCUCCAUUCUGAACUGCUUCUCCUCUAUUUUAUACUGUUACAUUCUCCCUGUUUCCAGCAUUUGGAGUGAUCUAGCUACCAUGAAAAUGUCACCGUAAGCCUCUCUUUAGAGUGUGAAAGACCAACCUUUUAAAUUUUUUUAGAAAUUUUUCCUAAUAAGUGCUGUGCCUCAUUCUGUAUCUUUAUGCCUUUCCCUUACGUCCACUGUCCUCUGGCAUUAGUCCUCACCAAUUCUUCAUUAAGACAAAUACUGACCUACAGCAUUUCAUGUUCUUACUAUCUCCUGCUCUCUGGAUAGUCACCUCUCACCUGUCUCUGUGAGAGGUGAGUAGCCAGAAAAACCACCAUUCCUGGCACCUUUUCCCUGCCUUCUUAGGUCCCAGUGCGCUUCAGCUUGUUACAUUGGCUGUCAGACACAUAGGUUCUCCUUUGCCCUUCCCCCAGAAGUCCCGUGGGUAGAGUCUAAUCUGUAUCAGUUUCUACCACAUUUCAUCAGGCACAACUUAGGUCCCUUGAAAGGCACUGUCAUGAUCCGUGUGUGUGUGUGUGUGUGUGUGUGUUUAGAGAAACUGAACCAAAGAAACUACUGUGGCACUCUUGCCUGAGAAUGGCUACAGCCUCAGCACUUCCAUCACCCACUGAGAGAACAGCAUGCUUUUUAAGCACCAGUGCAUAGUGCAGUCUUUUUGACAGAUCAGUUUAGGCAGCAUUUUUGAUCUCAGGUUUCUCCUUAACAGGACACACCAUGGCACAACUUAGAAUGCAACUUUUUCUCCUCUCCCUCCCUUGGUCAGAGGCAGACCUGCUUUGGUGUUUAAAUGCAGAUUGUGGGCUUUCUUUGUUCAUGGUACAGAUUUCUGGAUCCCUAAGACCUUCUGAGUGUCCAGAAUUUCUAGGGAUUUGAAUAAAUUCCCUCUUUCACUCACCUUUCUAAGAAGCUCUUCACCCACUUUUUUCAUCUCUAUGUGAUGGUGCAGCUUAGAAUGCAGCUUACUCUAUGCCAACAUUUUCCCAGAAUCAGCCCUUUUUUCCAUGUAGAUUUUGAAGUUUGUUUCUGAGCAAAUUUCAUUGAUCAUGAGUAGAUGAAUAUUGGCAAUAUAGUGUGCAUUGAACCCGGUAUCCAGUCAUGCCUCUACAAGGAGUUGGUUGAUGAUUUGAAUAAGAAAAAUACUCCCUGAAGAACUCAGUGUUUGUUGGGUGCAAAUGAGCACAUCUUUAUUCACAGCUUCUUAGAAGUCCAAGACUGAAGAAUGGCUGUGUUCAUUCCAGUCAGAGGACUCCGAAUGCCAAUUAAAACAGCCAUGGGAUAGAAAUAAGGGGUAGAGAAUUUCACAAGAAUGCACAAGUCCCUCUGUCCACUCCCAAGGUGCAUACACAAAGAAAGAAAAAGAAAAAAGAAAAACUGUGGAAAGAUGAAACCAGUAAUUAUUCACCUAACAUUAAACUUAAUUGGAAAGCAUAUUUGGGAAUAUUAAGUUGUAUUGGUGUUACAAUUACUUCUUUGUAUUUGGAUUGACAUACCCUCUUUCUAACUCAGUUCUAAGGAAUGUGAGUAAAUGUAUUCAUUUGUCAGCAGAGACUCAUUUUGAC
rnacentral:lncRNA from 1 species